rnacentral:rRNA from 1 species
GACGAACGCUGGCGGCGUGCUUAACACAUGCAAGUCGAACGGAAAGGCCCUGCACUUGUAGGGUGCUCGAGUGGCGAACGGGUGAGUAUCACGUGAGUAGCCUGCCCUUGACUUUGGGAUAACUUCAGGAAACUGGGGCUAAUAUCGGAUAUGAGCACCUGCUGCAUGGUGGGGGUUGUAAAGUUUCGGCGGUUGGGGAUGGACUCGCGGCUUAUCAGCUUGUUGGUGGGGUAGUGGCGUACCAAGGCUUUGACGGGUAGCCGGCCUGAGAGGGUGGCCGGCCACAUUGGGACUGAGAUACGGCCCAGACUCCUACGGGAGGCAGCAGUGGGGAAUAUUGCACGAUGGGCGGAAGCCUGAUGCAGCAACGCCGCGUGCGGGAUGACGGCCGUCGGGUUGUAAACCGCUUUCGCCUGUGACGAAGCGUGAGUGACGGUAAUGGGUAAAGAAGCACCGGCUAACUACGUG